CCCUUAGAUGUUCUGGGCCGCACGCGUGCUACACUGAGUGGAUCAGCGGGUUAGGUAACACGAAAGUGUAUCCUAAUCUUCAAAUCCGCUCGUGAUGGGGAUUGAUGGUUGCAAUUUUUUAUCAUGAACGAGGAAUACCUUGUAGGCGCGUGUCAUCAUCACGCGCCGAAUACGUCCCUGCCCUUUGUACACACCGCCCGUCGCUCCUACCGAUUGGGUGUGCUGGUGAAAUGUUCGGAUCGGCCGUUUGUCGCGGUUUCCGCGUCAUGUGGCUGAGAAGUUCAUUAAACCCUCCCACCUAGAGGAAGGAGAAGUCGUAACA
rnacentral:rRNA from 1 species